rnacentral:tRNA from 1 species
CGUUAGCUUGUAGUGGAUGGUAAGCAGAUAUAGUCGAAUGGUAAAAUUUCUCUUUGCCAAGGAGAAGAUGCGGGUUCGAUUCCCGCUAUCCGCCC